CAGACGAAUCCCCAGAACAGAGCCGGCCUUCUUUAUCAGCUUGUUCAGCUCGGAUGCUGCUGCCCCAGGGGAUGAUGGGAGAAGAGAUCACGCUCUCCACGACAGUCUUGGAGAAGAUCUGCAGCAUCUUCCUGCAACCACUGGAGAACCUGAGCUUUCUCAGAAGGUCCGGUCUGCUCUGUCUCUUCUUGAACACCGAGUCAGGACGCAUCGCCCGGCCCGCGGACGGCUCUAAUCGCAUCGACAGGUGACACGUAUGUGGGAACCAGAAGAUGAUGGGGGAGACGAGUCGCAUCGUGUGACCUGCGCCUCACAUGCCUCCUCCGUGUGCCGUGAGUGUGUGAGGAGCUGCGCUGUGACAACAGAUGACAUUUAGGAAACAAUCUGAGGGAAAUCUUGUUAACAAGAUUCUGAGGCUCUCUUCGGCUAACCUUGUAGGAGCACCAGCACGCAAAAUCAACUCCCCAGUCAUGCAGCUUCAGCUCAACGUUUCCCACUGCAUGCGCGCAGUCGAAUCCAACAAAACAGCCCUGAUAAUGCACAGAAAGCCAUUUUCCGGCUACCUUUCUGUGGCCAGCCUUCGUGAUGGCGUCCAUGUCGAACAGCUGACCCGUGUAGAACUGAACGCCGGCGAACAUCACAACGGCGAUGCUGUCUCCUUCUUUCU